GAUGAAGAACGAAGCGAAAUGCGAUAAGUAAUGUGAAUUGCAGAAUUCAGUGAAUCAUCGAAUCUUUGAACGCACAUUGCGCCCAUUAGUAUUCUAGUGGGCAUGCCUGUUCGAGCGUCAUUAAGUCCACUUAAGCCCUGCUUAGUGUUGGGAGACUGCUCCAGCGGUGCUACCCUGUAGCUACCCUGCAGCUCCUCAAAGACAGCGGCGGAGUUGUGGUAUCCUCUGAGCUUAGUAACUUGUUCUAGCUUUCGAGUACACCACUUCCCCUGCCGUAAAACCCUUAAUUUUUAAUGGUUGACCUCGGAUCAGGAAGGAAUACCCGCUGAACUUAAGCAUAUCAAUAAGCGGAGGA
rnacentral:misc_RNA from 1 species